GAGGGGAACAGCUGUUUAUGAGGGUGGGUAGCGAUAGGACAAGGGGGAAUGGUUUUAAGCUGAGACAGGGGAGGUUUAGGUUGGAUAUGAGGAGGAAGUUUUUCCCCCAGAGGGUGGUGACGCACUGAACAGGUUGCCCAAGGAGGCUGUGGAUGCCCCAUCCCUGCAGGCAUUCAAGGCCAGGCUGGAUGUGGCUCUGGGCAGCCUGGGCUGCUGGUUGGCGACCCUGCACAUAGCAGGGGGUUGGAACUGGAUGAGCACUGUGGGCCUUUGCAACCCAGGCCAUUCUGUGAUUCUCUUCAUUUUUUUUCACAAAAAGGUGCCUAUUUUGUCUGCUAGGCAAUUUGUUACUACCUUCUUCAAAUCAGAAGCUAUCAUUUUGUUGCUGUUAACAUAAUUAUGUUGUUGGUGAUGUAUGCACUAAUUCAGAUGUUAACACCUGGGCAAAUACUGGUUUCACUUUGUUGUACAGGAAAUCUACAAAGGUAAGGACUAAGAUACUGCUCUGCAAUAAUUUUUCAGAAUUUGUGAUUAUAUAUACAUAUUUUUAUCACCAAAAAGCAAUUUUCACAUAAGAAGGGGUAAAAAAAACCACCCACCACCCAACAAACAAACUUGCUUUUAUCUGUUCUCAUUUGUUUCUGCUCUUAUUAAUAUCCAGCCCACACUUCUGUAGUGCCAACAGUGCUUCUCUUUAAUACUUCAUUCCCCUCCUCCAAAACUCUUGCCCAGAAAAAUCCACUCUUAGCAACACCUCAGUACCAUUCACAUAAUUCCAUCUAUGAAU
ensembl:lncRNA